CCUGUCUGUCUCAGCCAAUGUGAGAAGGAUCUCUGGAUUUUAAACAAAACCAGCUGCUGCUUAGAAUCAGCACUUUUUUUUUUUUUUUCAGAUACAGUAGAUGUUGACAUUUCUGUGAGAGGUGGUGUAAUUCACAGGCAAGAUUUGCCACAGUUUCCUCAAGGGAGAUGUGAUGAUGAGUUUCUUAAAAAGGUUUUCAUGUCACUGAGGUACAGACUGGGAGAAGCGCGUAUAUGGGGGCUGAACUCCAUUGUCUAUUCUCAGGGAAUCAUGGACGGCUUACUCUGGGAUUUGACUUUAGUCUAUCUGGAGACGAUCCUCCGUGGGUAUCGUUUCUCUCAACGAGGCCUGUCAGGAAUCGUGUGAUGGAGUACCUGCAGUCUCGGACCCCCAUGGAGCCAUUGGUAACUUUGGUGUAGCCGUCUGGGCAGUUAAUUCCCAAGUUGAGUGAGCAGGAUUGGCACUCGGUCCUAAUGGAAGUUUGCUGAUGGCCAGAACGUCAUAAAAACAGGUGAUUUGCUCCAUUCCAUUUCUCAAUCCUCCUCUCACCCAACCUGGAAUAGCUUCUUCCUGAAGGCUUUGCUGCCUACCAGCCUCAGGUUGGUGUUAGGGGAAGAGCACUGGACUAGGAGUCAGGAGCCUCCUGGUCUGAGUCCUGGGUUGUCACCUUCCACCCGGAGGAUGAUGGGAAAAUCAGCUCUCUAGAGCUCCGUGUCUCCUCUGUGAGAUGAAGGGCCACCCCAGAUGGGAGUUGUAGGAACUUGCCGAAUCAAAAGAACCACCUAGGCACUUCCUAGAAACAGGUUCUCGGGCUCCCAUCUUGACCGUAAUGAGCAAGUGGGGCCAGGGUGGGGCCUGCGAAUCUGCACAUUUGCCAAGCAAGCCCGAGAGCUUAGGAACCACUGAUCUAAACCAUUUCCAAUGAACUUCUGGUACUAAAAUGUCAUGUGGCUAUAAAUAAUGUUAGUGAAAUGGACCUCCUCUGUGGAUAUACAUAUUUGUGCAUGAAUAUUUUUAUUUGUGCUGUGUUGCUGGUGAAGGAGCUGAUCUUAUGAUUGUCUCUUUGAAUCUUUCAGAAGGGGUGUGGGACGUCCCUUGAGGUUACAGGUUUUCCUUGUAGACUGUGUUGCUUGAAGAAGCCUUUUAUUUGUUUUAAGGACUACAGUACUAUUUAUACCAUACCUGGGGGAGGAUGGAUAACUAACCGAAGCUUGAGAGUCUUACUCUUUCUUGUAUUAUCCAAAUGUUCAUUUCUGUGUUCAGAACGAAUGAGAAGAGAUAGGAAUAGAUUAGGGUUCUCCACCAGGGGUGGUCUGUGCCACCCAGCAUCUAGUAGGUAGAGGCUGUGGAACACCCUACAGUGCACAGCACAGCACCUACAACAGAAGUACCCAGCCCUGAAUAGCAACAGCCCUGAGGUUGAGAAACACUGGAUUAGACCUGGCUACUCAUUAACAACAUUUUUGAGGGUGUGAGUGGACUUAGAGGACUGUACUGAGUGCCCAGUAUUCCUACUUCCAGCACUGUCUCUUCUGUGAAGACUUCCCAGACUUCACGGAACUCCCAGAGAGGCAGCUCGUUUUCACCUUUCUCCUGCAACUACCAAUCACACCCUGUGGCAAAUGUUCAUUUGUCUUCUCUCCUCUAUUAUUCAACUUCUCCAAAAACAAAGGACGAAUAGGAUCUCUAUAGACAUGUAGAAAGAGAAUUAUGAUGAAGGAUUGCCUCAUGUGAUUAUGGAGGCUGAGAAGUCCCACGAUCUCUGUUUGCGAGCUGGAGACCCAGGAAAUCCAGCAGUGUAAGCCUAGUUCAAAAAUGUCAGAGGUAAGGAAGAAAUAGAUUCCUACAUUCUUGAGAAGAGGAGCUAUUUGAUGGAAAAAAAUGAAGCUAUAGCAGCUCAUUUCAUACCAAAAUAAGUUCAUAGAUGUUAGCAUUUAAAUAUAAAAAUCCAAAAUCAUAAGUGAAAGAGAAAAAUGUACAUAAAUAGUUAAGUGAUUCUAGAGAGUGGAUUUCCUUUUAUUAAAAAAAAGA